AAAGGAAUAGACGGGGACCCGCACAAGCAGCGGAGCAUGUGGUUUAAUUCGAAGCAACGCGAAGAACCUUACCAAGGCUUGACAUCGCAUGACCGGUAUAGAGAUAUACCUUUCCCUUCGGGGACAUGCAGACAGGUGGUGCAUGGUUGUCGUCAGCUCGUGUCGUGAGAUGUUGGGUUAAGUCCCGCAACGAGCGCAACCCUUAUCAAUAGUUGCCAAUAUUAAGUUAGGAACUCUAUUGAGACUGCCGUGGAUAACACGGAGGAAGGUGGGGAUGACGUCAAAUCAUCAUGCCCCUUACGUCUUGGGCUACACACGUGCUACAAUGGCUAUUACAAAGAGUUGCGAAGUGGUAACACGGAGCCAAUCUCAAAAAAAUAGUCCCAGUUCGGAUUGUGGGCUGCAACCCGCCCACAUGAAGUCGGAGUUGCUAGUAAUCCCGAAUCAGCAUGUCGGGGUGAAUGCGUUCCCGGGUCUUGUACACACCGCCCGU
rnacentral:rRNA from 1 species